rnacentral:rRNA from 1 species
GAUGAACGCUGGCGGCGUGCCUAAUACAUGCAAGUCGAACGAAACUUCUUUAUCACCGAGUGCUUGCACUCACCGAUAAAGAGUUGAGUGGCGAACGGGUGAGUAACUCGUGGGCAACCUGCCCAAAAGAGGGGGAUAACACUUGGAAACAGGUGCUAAUACCCCAUAAACAUAGUUACCGCAUGGUAACUAUGUAAAAGGUGGCUAUACUACCGCUUUUGGAUGGGCCCGCGGCGCAUUAGCUAGUUGGUAGGGUAAAGGCUUACCAAGGCAAUGAUGCGUAGCCGAAUUGAGAGGUUGAUCGGCCACAUUGGAACUGAGACACGGCCCAAACUCCUACGGGAGGCAGCAGUAGGGAAUCUUCCACAAUGGGCGAAGGCCUGAUGGAGCAACGCCACGUGGGUGAAGAAGGUCUUCGGAUCGUAAAGCCCUGUUGUUAGAGAAGAAAGUGCGUGAGAGUAACUGUUCACGUUUCGACGGUAUCUAACCAGAAAGCCACUGCUAACUACGUG